AGGACGAACGCUGGCGGCGUGCUUAACACAUGCAAGUCGAGCGGAAAGGCCCUUCGGGGUACUCGAGCGGCGAACGGGUGAGUAACACGUGAGCAACCUGCCCUUAGCUUCGGGAUAGCUCCGGGAAACCGGAAUUAAUACCGGAUAUGACUAUGGCCGACAUCAGCCAUGGUGGAAAGUUUUUCGGCUAGGGAUGGACUCGCGGCCUAUCAGCUAGUUGGUGAGGUAACGGCUCACCAAGGCGACGACGGGUAGCCGGCCUGAGAGGGCGACCGGCCACACUGGGACUGAGACACGGCCCAGACUCCUACGGGAGGCAGCAGUGGGGAAUAUUGCGCAAUGGGCGAAAGCCUGACGCAGCGACGCCGCGUGGGGGAUGAAUGCCUUCGGGUUGUAACCCCUUUCAGCAGGGACGAAGCGAAAGUGACGGUACCUGCAGAAGAAGCGCCGGCUAACUACGUGCCAGCAGCCGC
rnacentral:rRNA from 1 species